rnacentral:lncRNA from 1 species
GUCUACCAGUUGCCACUUCUGGUCCAUUUGCAUAUAACACUGGAGAAGUGUUCCUUUAUCUUUGUGAAGCCCUUAACAUUCAAGGAGCCACUACUGCUUCUAUGCUGCUGAAAAAUACAAGACACUGCCUCUACCUCUGCAUCUGUCCUUUGCUUUUUGCUUGGAAACUAUCACAUCAAAUCACACUGAGAUCAGUUCCUACUGAGCUCUCACUGGCAAACUAUCAGUAGAAGAAGCCUGGCUUCUUUCUCUGCUAGUGUUGGCGUCUCCCUGCUUUCUUCCUUUCAAAUGAUGGUAUUAGAUCUGUCUUUCUCUACUACGAGCUGCAAUGCCCCUGUUACAGAAAAAAAAGAUUUGAGGAGACAGCUUGAAGCACCAUGGU